AUCAGCUUGCUAUAUUCACAGUAGCUAGUUACAAUGAUUAAUGCAUUAAGAUAGCUAACUCCAAAUGUAGCUAGAUAGGUAGCAAGCUCAACAGCCAUGAGAAGGGAGAGUAAGCUACUCUGGAUAGGGCAGGUACCUUUGCGGGAGGACAUGAAACUAUUCUCCAUUUCAAUCCCUGUCCUUAGCAAUAAAAACGGAAGACAGACCUGAAUAUUAUGUUGCUAUAUCUCUCUAUCUAACUUAAGUAUAAUGCAGCCUGUUACUUUGUUUUCUGUCCUCAGAUACAGAGGUCUGUCAAACCCUGUCUGCAGAAUGAGGUACCAAUGAAUGUCCCAAAAGAGAUAUCAGCCAUAUGUACCCAUUUUGCAGCUGAUAAUGGAAUCCAACGCAAAUGCAGCCAUAGGCCUACAGCAGUGGUUCCCAAUUCCAGUUCUCGAAUACCCCCAACAGCACACAUUUUUGUUGUAGCCCCAUACAAACAUAGCUGACU
ensembl:lncRNA